UAGGGAAUCUUCCACAAUGGACGAAAGUCUGAUGGAGCAACGCCGCGUGAGUGAUGAAGGGUUUCGGCUCGUAAAACUCUGUUGUUGGAGAAGAACGGGUGUCAGAGUAACUGUUGACAUCGUGACGGUAUCCAACCAGAAAGCCACGGCUAACUACGUGCCAGCAGCCGCGGUAAUACGUAGGUGGCAAGCGUUGUCCGGAUUUAUUGGGCGUAAAGCGAGCGCAGGCGGUUUUUUAGGUCUGAUGUGAAAGCCUUCGGCUUAACCGGAGAAGUGCAUCGGAAACCGGGAGACUUGAGUGCAGAAGAGGACAGUGGAACUCCAUGUGUAGCGGUGAAAUGCGUAGAUAUAUGGAAGAACACCAGUGGCGAAGGCGGCUGUCUGGUCUGCAACUGACGCUGAGGCUCGAAAGCAUGGGUAGCGAACAGGAUUAGAUACCCUGGUAGUCCAUGCCGUAAACGAUGAGUGCUAAGUGUUGGAGGGUUUCCGCCCUUCAGUGCUGCAGCUAACGCAUUAAGCACUCCGCCUGGGGAGUACGACCGCAAGGUUG
rnacentral:rRNA from 1 species